rnacentral:lncRNA from 1 species
CCUGUGGCCAGGCCGCUUCCCGUCCCGAUGAACUGCCAAGCUGCCUGCGCAGAGGCUGUGGGCGCCGUGCCCUCGCCGGCGGCCUGCGAGCGGGCGCCGAGGCGGCUACACUCUCCCCAGCACUGAGUGUUGUCUGCGUCUUGAGUCUCGGCCCUCGUGUGGGGGCUCCCUCUGCACCCCGGGGACUAACUGGCACACGUGCCGUUCACGGGUCCACCAGGCACUCAGAGCCCAACCGCGGGGUGCUGCCUUCCUGGUUCUGAGCUGGGGGAGCCGGGGCCGCGGUGUCGACGCGAGUCUUUGUAGAUCUGCGGUUUGUGGAUAUUUCCUCCCAAUCUCCAUCCCUGCAUUUUCCCAACAGGAUCUUUCAAACGAGCAGCAGUUUUUAAUUUUGAUGAUGUCCAAUUCAUCAAGGCUUUUUUUUCCCCCUGUAAGGUUCAUGUUUUUUUGUGUUCUAAGAAAUAGUUGCCUAAUCCAAGGUUACAAAGCCUUCUCUCCUGUUUUCUGUAAAAACCCUACAGUUUCACAUUUCUUGUUUAGAUCUGCGAUUCAUUUCAAGUCUGAUCUUAUGUACGGUGACAGGCACGGAUCGAGGUCAAGUCUUUCUGCAUGUGGUUACCCCGUCUUCCCAGCAACUUCUUUCCAUGGAAUUACUUUGGCACCUUUGAUGAAAAUCAGUUGGCCGUGUGUGUGGGUCCGAUUUCUGGACUUUGUGAUCUGUCCUGCCAGCAAAGCACUGUCCUGAUUACUGUGACUUUUAUGCUAAGCCUUGAAAUCAGGUCCUGUUAAUCCUCCAAGUUUGCUCAUUUCAGAAGUGUGAUGCCUGCCAGGCUUCACAUGCUCAUGUAAAUCUUGCAAUCAGCCGUCGGUUUCCAUGAAAAAAAUGAAACCCUGCUGGGAUUCCGACGGCCUUGCACUGGUGGGGAGACGGGCUCCGGCGUUCCCCAAGUUUUCUGACCGGGAACAUGCGACCAUAUACCUGGAAUGCCGUGUAGCUUGUGGGACCCAUUACACAGAACUUGCUAGAUAUGUCACUAAGUGCUUUGUACUUGUGAAGCGGCUUAAGUGACGCCUUUUCUCCAUCCCAUUUUUGGACUGUUGGCUGCUGGGAUGUAGAAGUACAGCUGAUUUUUUCAUAUUGACCUUGUGUCCUGUGUCUUUGCUAACCUAAUUAGCUCUAGAGGGAUUUCUGUUCAUUUGUUUUUGUUUGUUUUUUGUAGAUUCUUUAGGAUUUUCUAUGGAGACGAUCAUGUUGUCCCAAAUAAAGUUAAUCUUAUUUUUUCCUUUCCAAUCCAUAUGCUUUUUAUUUCUUGUUUCUCCCUGACAGCACUGGCGAGGCCUCCCGCUCCACUCUCGGCGGUGAGGAGAGAGCAGAUGUCCCUUCCUGCUGCUGGCGUGGAGGGCAGAGCACUGCUCUUUCCGUGGGAGUGACGUUAGCUGUGGGGCUUCUGCAGGUGCUGUUGACCAGGCUAGAUUCCUUUUCUUCCCAGUUUGCUGGGAACAGAGAGCCAUCAAGAACGGCUGUUGGAUCUCUGUCAGCGGCCUCUGCCCUGCUGAGAUGGCCGCCCUCCUCUCCCCUCUUGCUUGGGAACCCAGCGAGCGACACCAACUGAUUUCAGAGUGGAACCCUGUAUCCCUCCCUGAGACCCGCUUGGUCCUGAGGCGCCCGGACCUGCUGAGACUUGUGGACCGUGACC